AAACGAACAAAAAACUGAUGG
rnacentral:miRNA from 1 species